GACUGCUGUGCUAGCAAUCAGCGAGACUCCGUGGGCGUAGGACCCUCCGAGCCAGGUGCGGGAUAUAAUCUCGUGGUGCGACGCUUUUUAAGCCCUUCAGAAAAGCGCAGUGUUCGGGUGGGAGUGACCCGAUUUUCCAGGUGCCGCCCGUCACCCCUUUCUUUGACUCAGAAAGGGAACUCCCUGACCCCUUGCGCUUCCCAAGUGAGGCAAUGCCUCGCCCUGCUUCGGCUCGCGCACGGUGCGCGCACCCGCUGACCUGCACCCACUGUCUGGCACUCCUUAGUGAGAUGAACCCGGUACCUCAGAUGGAAAUGCAGAAAUCACCCGUCUUCUGCGUCGCUCACGCUGGGAGCUGUAGACCGGAGCUGUUCCUAUUCGGCCAUCUUGGCUCCUCCUGUAACAAUUUCUUGAGAUGGCUCCUCUUAGAACUAUGCAUCUCUCCUGAUACUUGGAUGCUUUUCCUCUGACUGAUGAAGAUCCUGAAUACCAAAGAGGGCCGCUGACAGGUCUAGGAGUACACUUCUAGCACCUAGCAGAGAGAGGCUUCACUACAUCAUGCUUCCUGACAUCUCUCCCUUUGAAGAGCAGUCAGACUCCUGCUUUGCUCUUCAGACUUAAUUUGGGGGUUUAACAGCCAUGUGAAGUGCUCACUCCCCCUUUGCCUUCUGCCAUGAUUGUGUGUUUCCUGAGGCCUCCCCAGAAGCUGAGAAGAUGCUUCCUGUACAGCCUGCAGAACUGUUUGAAUGAGAGAGGCAGAAGCACAUUUCCAAUCACUGGGGGAACCUGAGACCAUUCUUUCCAACCCAUUUUGCCAAAUGGAUGUCCUGAGGAAGGUGUUCCAAGAGAGGCGAUGUCAGGAUAGUGUCUGAUUGGAGGGUGCCCAAGGCACAUGGGAGAAUGUGGAAGAACUGGAAAGACUUGGGUGUUGCUGAUGUUAAAUUACUUAGGUAUCUCUGUAGAAACUUAGUGGGUCAUUCCUUCUCUUCACAAUCCCUUUCUUAAAUUUAUGAUAAACGUGAAAGGUAAUCAAAACAAAAGCAGGGCAAAAUGGGAAAAUAAGUUCCCACUUUAACUUUUUCUGGAUUAUUUAAAGGUCUACUGGGGCAAAUGUGAUGAAAAUUAAAAAAAAAAUUGCAGAUCAUCAGUGUUUAAAAGCAAAUGCUUUCUGAAAAUUAUAGCUUGUAUGUUAACAUGAUUUGUUGAAAUCUGUUUUU
rnacentral:lncRNA from 1 species